AUACGAAAGGUGCAAGCGUUGUUCGGAUUUACUGGGCGUAAAGAGAGUGUAGGUGGUUUAUUAAGUCGGAUGUGAAAUCCCGGGGCUCAACCUCGGAACUGCAUUCGAUACUGAUAGGCUAGAGUUUGGGAGGGGUAAGCGGAAUUCCGUGUGUAGCAGUGAAAUGCGUAGAUAUACGGAGGAACACCUGAGGCGAAGGCGGCUUACUGGACCAAUACUGACACUGAGACUCGAAAGCGUGGGUAGCAAACGGGAUUAGAUACCCUUGUAGUCC
rnacentral:rRNA from 1 species